GUCACUUUGCCGGAGUGGUUAACGGGAUCGCCUGCUAUGAGCCAGCGGUUGGGCUUUGCCCGCGAGUGUUCGAAUCGCUCAGGUGACG